GAGUGAAGCGGCAAAAGCUCAAAUUUGAAAUCUGGCUCUUUCAGAGUCCGAGUUGUAAUUUGAAGAAGGUAUCUUUGGGUCUGGCUCUUGUCUAUGUUUCUUGGAACAGAACGUCACAGAGGGUGAGAAUCCCGUGCGAUGAGAUGAUCCAGGCCUAUGUAAAGUUCCUUCGAAGAGUCGAGUUGUUUGGGAAUGCAGCUCUAAGUGGGUGGUAAAUUCCAUCUAAAGCUAAAUAUUGGCGAGAGACCGAUAGCGAACAAGUACAGUGAUGGAAAGAUGAAAAGAACUUUGAAAAGAGAGUGAAAAAGUACGUGAAAUUGUUGAAAGGGAAGGGCUUGAGAUCAGACUUGGUAUUUUGUAUGUUACUUCUUCGGGGGUGGCCUCUACAGUUUAUCGGGCCAGCAUCAGUUUGGGCGGUAGGAGAAUUGCGUUGGAAUGUGGCACGGCUUCGGUUGUGUGUUAUAGCCUUCGUCGAUACUGCCAGCCUAGACUGAGGACUGCGGUUUAUACCUAGGAUGUUGGCAUAAUGAUCUUAAGUCGCCCGUCUUGACC
rnacentral:rRNA from 1 species